AGAAGAUUUUAGCCAAAAUCCAAGGAUUUUGAAUGAAGAAAGUUCUCAGAAAUUAAGGAUGGAUGAGGGCAGAGCAGAAGUCCUGGGAUGGAUGUGGACAAGACAUUCCAGUUCUAGGCCACCCUUCCUGG
rnacentral:lncRNA from 1 species